rnacentral:lncRNA from 1 species
UGAGGUUGUGAUGAAGAUUAAAUGGGAUAGAACAUAUGCUUCACAUGGUGCCUGGCAUGUAAAAAGCUUUUAUAUAUUAGCUAUUGUUGUUAGUUUUAAUUAUUUACUUGUCUGAACUUGCUACUAUAAUGUUGUGAACAAUUGUGAACACUCACUUUUUGUUUGGUUGAUACCUAUAUUACUCAUCUGGCCACUUGUUGUAUUUCUUUUCUUAGAUAUAAAUUUGAUGUGAACCAGUGCGUGUUCUCCUUUGGGAUCAUCACUGAGAAGCUCUGAGUGGCAUCUCUGCCCUGUAUGGAAGAAGAGCUGGUGGACCUCUAUGCAGGAAAGGCCAGAGACUUUUGAAGUAUUUUCCAUUCCAUGACUUGGAAGAAGACCCAUACCUUCAUGGAAAUUCCCAUGAGUAAAUUGCCUUCAACCAGUACCCAUGGCCUGAAGACUACCCUCAGUGCAAUUAUGACAAGUGCAGUGAUGAUACAUUUGGCGAUUUCUUGCUGCUCGAAGGGCCUUUUACAAUGAACACAUA